GAUGAAUGCUGGCGGCAUGCUUAACACAUGCAAGUCGAGCGGCAGCGCGAGUAGUUUACUACUUGGCGGCGAGCGGCGGACGGCUGAGUAACGCGUGGGAACAUGCCCUAAAGUGAGGAAUAACUGCCCGAAAGGGUGGCUAAUGCCGCAUAUGAUCUUCGGAUUAAAGGAUUUAUCCGCUUUAGGAGUGGCCUGCGUAUGAUUAGGUAGUUGGUGAGGUAAUGGCUCACCAAGCCGACGAUCAUUAGCUGGUCUGAGAGGAUGACCAGCCAGACUGGAACUGAGACACGGUCCAGACUCCUACGGGAGGCAGCAGUGAGGAAUAUUCCACAAUGGGCGAAAGCCUGAUGGAGCAACGCCGCGUGAAGGAUGAAGGCCUUCGGGUUGUAAACUUCUUUUAUAAGUGAAGAAUAUGACGGUAACUUAUGAAUAAGCACCGGCUAACUACGUGCCAGCAGCCGCGGUAACA
rnacentral:rRNA from 1 species